rnacentral:tRNA from 1 species
GCACCUGUAGCUCAAAGGAAUCAGGCACCGAUCCCAUAUGUCGGAGGUGGUGGGUUCAAACCCCGCCAGGGCCA